rnacentral:rRNA from 1 species
GAUGAACGCUGGCGGCGUGCCUAAGACAUGCAAGUCGAGUGGUUAGACCCACGGGCGAACGGUGAGUAAUACCUAGGACUUGCUUAAGUUGAGGAUAUCCUCCCGAAAGGGAGAGGCAAUACUCAAAUGUGGUCGCAAGACCAAAGUCGCAAGACGCUUAAGUUGAGGCCUGGGGCCCCCAUCAGCUAGUUGGUAAGGUAAUGGCUUACCAAGGCUAUGACGGGUAGCGGAAGCGGAGAGCUUGAUCCGCCACACUGGGA